AGGAUCGCGCAUUAGCGGACGCUGGCUACGGGUGGCCGGGCGGGAUGUAACCGGCUGCUGAGCUGGCAGUUCUGUGUCCCCAGGCUUCGGCCCGGCCGCCGCCGCACAUAAACUGCGAGGAGGAGCUUUACGACUUCUCGGUCUUCGGGGCCGGGCGCAGCAAGGGCCAGACUCUGCGCUAGCAGGCGCUGCGCGCCAACCGGCCGGCCCCUGUCGCAGAAGGUGCAACCGAUCGCACUGUCGCGCAGAAGCUCCUCAAUGGCCAGCGCCAGCUGCAGCCCCGGCUGCCCACUCGCCUCACCUGAGCCUGGGAGCCCUCUGGCACAAAUGGAAGAAGAAAGAAGGGAGCAAGUAGCUAAAAUUAAGAAGAUGGAGAUGGAGAUGGAGCAGGUGUUUGAGAUGAAGGUCAAAGAAAAAGUUCAAAAACUGAAGGACUCUGAAGCUGAGCACACACAUGCCCUCUUGGUUCUGUUUCUUUGAAGAACCCCAGGAAAACACACAAAGGAAAAACAACUCGAUAGACAGAAGAUUCUUCAAUGACAACAAUGGAAGCCAUCUUCACCAUUCAACUAAACUUGAAUGGGAUAUUAUCAAACUUAAAAAAAAAUUAUCAACUGAUCGUGUAAUCAGUUUCAUCUUUUAAGACAGGAAAUGAAAUAAAGUAUUUACAGAU
rnacentral:lncRNA from 1 species